CUACGGGUGGCUGCAGUGAGGAAUAUUGCACAAUGGGGGGAACCCUGAUGCAGCAACGCCGCGUGGAGGAUGACGCAUUUCGGUGUGUAAACUCCUUUUAUCAGAGAAGAACAUGACGGUAUCUGAUGAAUAGGCUCCGGCUAACUCCGUGCCAGCAGCCGCGGUAAUACGGAGGGAGCAAGCGUUAUUCGGAAUCACUGGGCGUAAAGGACGCGUAGGCGGGACAGUAAGUCAGGUGUGAAAUCCAAUGGCUCAACCAUUGAACUGCACUUGAAACUGCUGACCUAGAGUACUGAAGGGGCAGAUGGAAUUAGUGGUGUAGGGGUAAAAUCCGUAGAUAUCACUAGGAAUACCGAAAGCGAAGGCGAUCUGCUGGGAAGUUACUGACGCUGAGGCGUGAAAGCGUGGGGAGCAAACGGGAUUAGAUACCCGCGUAGUC
rnacentral:rRNA from 1 species